rnacentral:tRNA from 1 species
GCAGGCGUAGUUCAAUGGUAGAACAUUAGCCUUCCAAGCUAACUACGCGGGUUCGAUUCCCGUCGCCUGCUCCA